GACGAACCGAGCGAACGUUGUUCGGAAUCACUGGGCUUAAAGGGCGCGUAGGCGGCUUACCAAGUCAGGGGUGAAAUUUUGCGGCUUAACCGUAACAGUGCCUUUGAUACUGGUAGGCUCGAGGGAGGUAGGGGUUCGCGGAACUUCUGGUGGAGCGGUGAAAUGCGUUGAUAUCAGAAGGAACGCCCGGUGGCGAAAGCGGCGAACUGGACCAACACUGACGCUGAGUGAGCGAAAGCCAGGGGAGCAAACGG
rnacentral:rRNA from 1 species